AGUCUUCUCUGCAGACACCAGCCUGGUGUCCUCCUUCAUCCCAGGCUGCCAGGCUAGGCAGGGGGCAGCGGCUGCCCUGGUCCUCACAGCCCUGGCUGCGGGGCCGGUGACAGCCAGAUCCUCAUGCUUCUGCGACCACAGCGCUGCCUUCAGACACCUCUCUGCUGGCAUAUUCCUGGGUCCAUGAUGGAAGAAGGAAAAGUAUUUUUAAAAGGCAAUCUAAAGCUCAUACUGUGACUGCAACAUAAAAUGUGUUCACCUUAGGAGACUGCUUUCACCGCAAGUGGGUCACCGGUCUCUGAUGGUUCUGGUUUCCUGGGCACCCAGAAUAUGUGUGUCACCAUUUGUCCUGAAGCUGACAUCUCUGAGCUGGAUGGCACCCUGGACAUCAACCGGCCCUUCACCUUCACAUCACACAGGAGGGACACUGGUCCAUAGACAGGAUGCCUGCUCUGGUCACCAGCUGGAGGGUGGCAGAACUUGGGUACCUGAGCUUUGGACUCUGCCACGCAGAGCACUUCCUCAGUCCCUCCUGCUGCCCCUGGCAGGGUGGAGCUGGCAGGGCAGCUGAUCCAGGACCGUCCACUUCCCAGCCAGCAGGAGGAUGGAAAAGCGGAAUGGAGGGGGAGACAACCUCCUUUGCAGGGCGUGACUGGGAAGUUGGACAUAUCAUUUCCAGCCGCUUUCCAUGGACCAGAAUUAGCCCUGUGACCAACUCUGGCUGCCAGAAAGUCUGGGAAAUACAGUCUCUGCUUGGGCGAUCAGGCAGGCAGUUAUAUCUUUGGGAACAUCUCUCACCCCCUGGGAACACCUGAGCAGAAACUGAAGGACAUUUAACAGAUUCCCCUUUGUGUCUAAUAAGAAUUCCCCCCCCAUCAGUCGGGGCUCUCCUAUGUGCUGGGUACAUAGGUCAUCUUUACACAACCCAGCAAUGGAGAGCACACCAUUCCCAGGCUGCAGAUGCAGAAACUGUGGCUCGGAGAGUUAAGCGUCUUGUUCAGAUUCAGUCAGCUGGUAGAUGGCAGGUCUGGGAUUAAGACCCAGGCCUGGCUGGUCCUGCCAGGACACAGUAUCACAGCUUUGACUGGGGGCUUCUUUUUGUU
rnacentral:lncRNA from 1 species